AAACACCCCCACCCCCCAUCGGAAGUCAAGAGGCCAUCUCCUCCUCCUCCUCCUCCCCCAUGGGAGAGCAAUCCCUCUCCCAGCUCAAGCCCCAGCCUCCCUCCCCAUCGCCGCCCGCCCCCGCCGCCGCAUCGCGUACCAAGAAGGCCCACCUCUCCUCCGACCCCUCCGCCUCCAACCCGCCCAAGAAGCCCCGCCCGGCGCUGUCGCUCCCGGGCCGCCCCCUGUCCGCCGACGGCGAGGUGGCCGCGGCCAUCCGCCACCUGCGCGCGGCCGACCCCACCCUCGCCGCCGUCAUCGACGCCCACGAGCCCCCGGCGUUCCACUGCCCGCACCGCCCGUUCCACUCCCUCGCCCGAUCCAUCCUCUACCAGCAGCUCGCCUUCAAGGCCGCCGCCUCCGUCUACUCCCGAUUCCUCGCGCUCCUCGGCGGCGAGGCCAGCGUGGUCCCCGACGCCGUCCUCGCGCUCACCCCGCACCAGCUCCGCCAGAUCGGGGUCUCCCCGCGCAAGGCGUCCUACCUCCACGACCUCGCCCGCAAGUAUGUCUCCGGGAUCCUGUCCGAUGCCUCCAUCGUCAACAUGGACGAUCGGUCCCUCGCCGCCAUGCUCACCAUGGUCAAGGGCAUCGGCGCCUGGAGCGUCCACAUGUUCAUGAUCUUUUCCCUUGCGCGCCCCGAUGUGCUCCCCUCCGCCGACCUCGGUGUGCGCAAGGGCGUGCAGAUGCUCUACAGACUCGAGGACGUGCCCCGGCCGUCGCAGAUGGAGAAGCUGUGCGAAAGGUGGCGCCCGUUCCGCUCCGUGGGGGCAUGGUACAUGUGGCGGCUCAUUGAGUCCAAGGCCCCGCAGCCGGCGCCGGCCUUCCCUGUCGGACCUAUUGCACUCCCGGCGCCUAAUGGGCAGCUUAUGCUACAGCAGCAUCAGCAUCAACAGCAGCAACAGCAACAGCAACAGACUGGCCUCCAAAUGAUCGACCCCCUUCAGAUGCUUCCAGGGAUGGGGUGAAUCUGUUGAAAUGAACUAGCAACGUAUGGUGUGGUUGAAUCUUUAAACUUGGAAGAUAUGGAGUAUGUUUCUAUUUGGAAACCAUAAUAUCCCAGUGGGAUUUGUUCUUGAGAGCUUUAAUAAGAGAUACUAUUGCAAUCCACCAAUUGAAGUUGCAGUACAUGGAGUAGAAAGAACAACAUUUCCAUGCACUGUGUGAUGCAGCAUGACAGGUGACAAUGGUGAAUAUGUGCCAGGAAAUGUUCAAUUUCUUUUAUCUGCGUCGACAAAUAACAUACGACAACUGACCUUUUGUCUGACGUUUGUUCUGGAUCAUAGUUUGCAAGUAAAGUGGAGUAUGUAUUGCCCGAAGUUCCUGAAUCCUGAUUGAGCCCUUCAGUAUUCUUGUGCCCUGUUGUUGAACUCCAGCUCAGUGACAGCGGUUCUGGUACAUCAGAGAUCCAAGUACGGGCUGUAUCAGCUGGAAUUAGUUAUUUUGUUGGAAACAUGAAAAUUUUGGAUCUGGGCUACUCUGUGAUUUUUACAUGUAGAGAUUCAAGCGUACUGUAAAAGCACUCGUCAAUGUUUCUGCAGUGCUCACUUGCAGCAAGUUUGUUUUGUGUUA